rnacentral:rRNA from 1 species
GAUGAACGCUGGCGGCGUGCCUAAUACAUGCAAGUCGAGCGAACGGACGAGAAGCUUGCUUCUCUGAUGUUAGCGGCGGACGGGUGAGUAACACGUGGAUAACCUACCUAUAAGACUGGGAUAACUUCGGGAAACCGGGGCUAAUACCGGAUAAUAUUUUGAACCGCAUGGUUCAAAAGUGAAAGACGGUCUUGCUGUCACUUAUAGAUGGAUCCGCGCUGCAUUAGCUAGUUGGUAAGGUAACGGCUUACCAAGGCAACGAUGCAUAGCCGACCUGAGAGGGUGAUCGGCCACACUGGAACUGAGACACGGUCCAGACUCCUACGGGAGGCAGCAGUAGGGAAUCUUCCGCAAUGGGCGAAAGCCUGACGGAGCAACGCCGCGUGAGUGAUGAAGGUCUUCGGAUCGUAAAACUCUGUUAUUAGGGAAGAACAUAUGUGUAAGUAACUGUGCACAUCUUGACGGUACCUAAUCAGAAAGCCACGGCUAACUACGUGCCAGCAGCCGCGGUAAUACGUAGGUGGCAAGCGUUAUCCGGAAUUAUUGGGCGUAAAGCGCGCGUAGGCGGUUUUUUAAGUCUGAUGUGAAAGCCCACGGCUCAACCGUGGAGGGUCAUUGGAAACUGGAAAACUUGAGUGCAGAAGAGGAAAGUGGAAUUCCAUGUGUAGCGGUGAAAUGCGCAGAGAUAUGGAGGAACACCAGUGGCGAAGGCGACUUUCUGGUCUGUAACUGACGCUGAUGUGCGAAAGCGUGGGGAUCAAACAGGAUUAGAUACCCUGGUAGUCCACGCCGUAAACGAUGAGUGCUAAGUGUUAGGGGGUUUCCGCCCCUUAGUGCUGCAGCUAACGCAUUAAGCACUCCGCCUGGGGAGUACGACCGCAAGGUUGAAACUCAAAGGAAUUGACGGGGACCCGCACAAGCGGUGGAGCAUGUGGUUUAAUUCGAAGCAACGCGAAGAACCUUACCAAAUCUUGACAUCCUUUGACAACUCUAGAGAUAGAGCCUUCCCCUUCGGGGGACAAAGUGACAGGUGGUGCAUGGUUGUCGUCAGCUCGUGUCGUGAGAUGUUGGGUUAAGUCCCGCAACGAGCGCAACCCGUAAGCUUAGUUGCCAUCAUUAAGUUGGGCACUCUAAGUUGACUGCCGGUGACAAACCGGAGGAAGGUGGGGAUGACGUCAAAUCAUCAUGCCCCUUAUGAUUUGGGCUACACACGUGCUACAAUGGACAAUACAAAGGGCAGCGAAACCGCGAGGUCAAGCAAAUCCCAUAAAGUUGUUCUCAGUUCGGAUUGUAGUCUGCAACUCGACUACAUGAAGCUGGAAUCGCUAGUAAUCGUAGAUCAGCAUGCUACGGUGAAUACGUUCCCGGGUCU